AUACGUAGGGGGCGAGCGUUGUCCGGAAUGAUUGGGCGUAAAGCGCGCGCAGGUGGUUCUUUAAGUCUGAUGUGAAAGCCCCCGGCUCAACCGGGGAGGGUCAUUGGAAACUGGGGAACUUGAGUGCAGAAGAGGAUAGUGGAAUUCCAAGUGUAGCGGUGAAAUGCGUAGAGAUUUGGAGGAACACCAGUGGCGAAGGCGACUGUCUGGUCUGUAACUGACACUGAGGCGCGAAAGCGUGGGGAGCAAACAGGAUUAGAUACCCUGGUAGUCCACGCCGUAAACGAUGAGUGCUAAGUGUUGGGGGGUUUCCGCCCCUCAGUGCUGCAGCUAACGCAUUAAGCACUCCGCCUGGGGAGUACGGUCGCAAGACUGAAACUCAAAUGAAUUGACGGGG
rnacentral:rRNA from 1 species